rnacentral:rRNA from 1 species
UACGAAGGGGGCUAGCGUUGCUCGGAAUGACUGGGCGUAAAGGGCGCGUAGGCGGACUGCACAGUCAGGCGUGAAAUUCCUGGGCUUAACCUGGGGACUGCGUCUGAGACGUGUGAUCUAGAGUGAGGAAGAGGGUCGUGGAAUUUCCAGUGUAGAGGUGAAAUUCGUAGAUAUUGGAAAGAACACCGGUGGCGAAGGCGGCGACCUGGUCCUUGACUGACGCUGAGGCGCGAAAGCUAGGGGAGCGAAUGGG